rnacentral:rRNA from 1 species
GUAGGGAGCUAGCGUUGUCCGGAAUUAUUGGGCGUAAAGGGCGCGCAGGUGGUUGGAUAAGUCACUUGUUUAAUCCGCAAGCUUAACUUGCGAUCGGCAAGUGAAACUGUUUAACUAGAGUAUAGGAGAGGAAAGUGGAAUUCCCAGUGUAGCGGUGAAAUGCGUAGAUAUUGGGAAGAACACCGGUGGCGAAGGCGACUUUCUGGACUAUUACUGACACUGAGGCGCGAAAGCCAGGGGAGCAAACGGGAUUAGAUACCCCGGUAGUCCUGGCCGUAAACGGUGAACACUAGGUGUAUCCUGAGUUAUCGGGAUGUGCCGAAGCUAACGCAUUAAGUGUUCCGCCUGGGGAGUACGCUCGCAAGGGUG